rnacentral:rRNA from 1 species
GCCUACGGGAGGCAGCAGUGGGGAAUAUUGCACAAUGGAGGAAACUCUGAUGCAGCGACGUCGCGUGAACGAUGAAGGUCUUCGGAUCGUAAAGUUCUGUCCUAGGGGAAGAUAGUGACGGUACCUUAGGAGGAAGCCCCGGCUAACUACGUGCCAGCAGCCGCGGUAACACGUAGGGGGCGAGCGUUGUCCGGAAUUACUGGGUGUAAAGGGUGCGUAGGCGGCCUUGCAAGUCAGAUGUGAAAGAUCAUGGCUUAACUGUGGUAAGCAUUUGAAACUGUAAGGCUUGAGUGCAGGAGAGGAGAGUGGAAUUCCUAGUGUAGCGGUGAAAUGCGUAGAUAUUAGGAAGAAUAUCAGUGGCGAAGGCGGCUCUCUAGACUGCAACUGACGCUGAGGCACGAAAGCGUGGGGAGCAAACAGGAUUAGAUACCCUGGUAGUCCACGCUGUAAACGAUGAGUGCUAGGUGUCGGGGGUCAUACCUCGGUGCCGCAGUUAACGC